UCUAGGGCGGAGUGAGGGGCCGGCCGGAUGGGCAGGUUGUCUGCUCCUCCCCCAACCUGAGCUUGUUUUGUAAAGGAAAGCACUUGUAAUUUCCUAAGACUUCAAAUUAAGUCUUUAAACUGUUCCCGUUUCCUAAUAAGGGAGAAAACGGCCCUCACCCCAGUUCCAGCUCCUUCCAAGCUGAAAGUUCUCUUAGAAUGGUCUGGAAACAAGAUCCACAAUGUCUCUGAGGCUCUAACAUAACACAAAUUCGCCUGUUCAACUGAGAGUGGAACUGGAGGAAUCUGGACCACCUUUCCAGGAUGGGACCCACGGAAUGGUCAGGUAUGGCUGGAGGAGUCUGGACUGCCUUGCCAAGAUGGGGCCUGGUGUGCUGCUGUGCUAUCCUCUGGGAAAGAGAUAUCCGUAAGCCUUGAUUACCGGCAGCGCUGGAGGAAUACGGACUUACCAGGGCUAAGUUGGGUGGCUUGCUAAGGAGCUUCAGUAAGAGACACUUGGGAGUCCUGAUUGGUGCAGAAGCCUGGGACCCCAGAAAACAACAUUAGCCAACUCAUUUUAAUCCUGCGUCCUGACUCUUGCUGGACAAGAGAGAACUUUAGACCCAGAGUCUACGACAGAUGGUGACCCGGCUGUGAUAGAAGGAAAGGGGCCUACAGGGCAACAUGGACAAGGAGCUGAUGUGGCAGGAGGUGGUGCAACACAAGGACUGCAGCACACCAUGGAAUGAUUAAGGAGCUCCAAGAAAAAACUCACUGGGUACAGUCGCUUCCUGACGAGCAGGUCUUUGAUUACUUAGAAGAAAAGAGUCUAACUUUAUUUGCGUGUGAAGUCUUCUUGAGUUUAAAAUUUCCCAGAAGACCCCUGAUAGAUUUCAAGGGUUUGUUCUUCUCAUAAAAGAGAGAUGUUAAAGGCAGCAACCUCCUUGACCUAGCCUGCAGCAACUUCUUACUUGACAUGUCUCUGAAGGCAAGGGAAAUAAAGCAAAAAUGAACUAUUGAGACCUC